AAGUUAAAAUGACCUUUUUGAGUCGCUCUGAUAGCACGCUCUUGACGCCCGUGGUGUCCAGGUUUCGUUUCUUCAGCUCGGCCUUCAGGUCGAUCACUCUCAGCUCGGACAGUUUGCGGACCUCUGCGCCCUCCAGGACCUCCGUGUCUGCUGAUGGGUCAGCCAUGGUACUGGUUGUAGAAAUGUCGCCUUAGUUAGGAAUAAAUCCUUAUUGCACUCAAUAUACUGAUGCAGCUUCUCGUAUGCGAAAAGGUUGCUAGCACCGUACUGCAAAAUGGAGGCCUAACUUACACGCAUGCGCAGAACACGUGAAAGCAGUGCCUACUGGAAAGCGUUCCUCUUUUAUGGGUUAUAAACAUUAUAAACAGGGAAGUCAGUAAGCUGAGCAGAACAGGAUACGAUUUCUUCGGGCUGCUCAAGAAUCCGAGUGUAGAUGACCAUGAUGUUGGAGAACUCUGCAGCAAAUCCAAGCUGCACCUUCACUCCGCAGUCAAACUGCAGGUAUCGACUCUUUGAUUACCAUGAGCAACAGCCCACUGCAGGUUUCGGACAGAUUGGGAGGCAGAACAGUCAGAGCUCUGUAUCUGGUCGGUGAGGCAACGUCGUUCUGAAAGAUUACUGCGCAGCUCCAGAGCCUGCCUCCCCUUAGUGAUCCUACAAUGACCCAUAUCUGGUGAGAAAUAAAAGACUUAAAUACAAAGCAUCCAUUUAUUAGUGCUUUAACAGUUGGGUCC